rnacentral:lncRNA from 1 species
UAUUCAUCAACUCAGUUACUGAGGCAGAGACUAUUGUGUGAUAUUUAGACUUUGUUUGGUAUUGAGGUCUAUCUAACGCUAUUAGAUAAAAUGGAGUUGAGGAAAAAGCAUAUAAGAAUAUGCUUCUGUGUUUUCCGGUGGGACCGUAGAAAAUAUAUCGUAACCAACCCAUCGCGAUAUGCGGUACGCAAUAUUACGUACAGAAACAAACAUGGUAUUUUUCCAACGUACUUUCUCACCGCACGUAACGCAAUCUUCCCGCAAUCCCAAACGAAACCUUAAAAGUGUUUCACUUCACGUUUGUCACGUGUUUUUAUACAGUGAUGCUUUCUUUGCUGUAAAUAGUAUUUUUUAUGGGGAGCAACUCUCCAAAGUUAAUGUAAAAAUCGAAAAUUAAAUACCGAAGCUCAGAUAAAAAUCAAUGUAAUUUUGAGACCGUUUGAUUUUUUUUUUAGAAAUAAACUUAGGUGAAAAUAUAAAAUAAAUAUGUGUUAAAUUUGAAAACUCAGAUAUACUAAUCAUCAAAUUCUUACUCAACUACGUUAGAUACGAUUGCUAAAAAAUUAAAUUUUUUGCAUCCAUAAUUUAAUAGAUAUAACAUAUUUUACAUACAAAAUAAUUUUGAGUACUAAAUAUAGUAUACUAUACUAGAAAUUUACGUUAUACUACUCUUCUAUCAAAUAAUUUUGAAGUUCUUGAGUAAAUCAAACACUAAUUCACCCAACAAGGAUAUAUUUUUUUUCUUUCUAUUUAAAGCCUGAGGAAGUUUAUAUGAUAAGAAAUUACAAAUUGAAUAUGACAUAUGAGUAAGGAAUUUAAUUACUUUUUUUGAAUAAAUAGGAAGCAAAGGAUUAUUGGAAUAAGCCUUGUUAAAUAUAAGAAAUAUAUAAACAUCAUUCUCUACGAGGUUAAAUUUUUAGAGUACACGAUAUUUCACAUGAUGUCAGAUUCUGAGUUCGAGUCACACCAGGCUUCUAGUAUUAUUAAUUUUCUUUUAUUUAAUGCAAGUCUACGUUAUAGACCUUAUAAAAACUCAAGUCCGGAGGUGAAGAGGAUGAGAACAAGUAGAAAUAGUAAGAACUAAAAAGAGACCAGAUAAAAAAAGGGGUUAAUUUCAUUCAAGUUUCUGCAAACAUAGUGAAUGAUAAAUAUAUCCCUAUAAAAUUCAACUUUCAUAUGUUGUUCUUGCAAACGUUCUAAUAUUUUCAAAUAUGUUCCUCUGAUUUGUUACUGUUAGAGAACCGUUAGACAACUGUUUAUAUUUUUAAUUUUGUCAUCACAAAUAUGUCCCUUCAAAAACCACAACAGUAUAAUAUAAGAGGGGUAAAAAUAUCAAAAACUAACCAGAAUUAACUAUUUAAUAUAUGAUUAACUAAAUUUUUUUAAUAGAUUCUAACGACAGGCAUCAAGACUUUUGCAGAGACAAGAUAUAAUAUGUUGAACUUUGUAAAAAUAUAUUUGCCAUUUACUAUUUUUGUAGAGAUCUGUAUGAAAUUAAUCCUAAAAAAUACAUACAUUUGCAUAAUUACAACUGUGUUAUAAUUUUAACCAUUUAAUUCUGUGCACUUUGAACGGUGGAAACUGCAUAAAUAGACCUGACUGUAACAGUUAGAAUUAUGCUGAAGUCAACAGCAGUUCCAAAUACAAUAAUUGGAUAGAAUAAUUUUAAGCACGAGAUAAAAUAAUAGAAUUACCUAUUUAAUAUAGACAAUAUCUUUUCUUUAUAUUUUAAGGUACCAAAAUUUGAAACUACGCAAUUAAAUAAUUUUUUUUUCUAAUUGCAGAGCUUAAUUUCAACUAUAUAUGCAGUCAAAUAAGAUAUAUAUAUAUAUAUAUAUAUAUAAUUGAUGUAUUUUUAAUUAUAUUCAUAUCCAAGUGCAAUGCAUUGAUAAUUAUAUCGAGCCAAACAGUCCCUAAAGUAAAAUAAUUAUAAGAUGAAUAACUAAUACCAAAUUUUCUUCUAAAAAAUGAAAAUUCCAAAUUUUUUUUUUCAAAAUUGAUUUUAAAAAACACGAAACUAAUUGGUGUCUCCUUUUUGAUCUCCCAACCAAAAAAAAAAAAUACUUAAAAAGCUAUAAUUACAGCAACUUGGUGCAUCAUGAGUGCCACAUCAGCAAACUUAGGAAUCCAAAUUAACACAACAUAUAAAUAUAUAAUUUAUCAAAUUAAGAAUUUUUGAUAUUUCCAAAUUAAAAAUGAAUGGACACGCUCAAACGAAAACCAUUUUUGAGAUCGACUAUUAAACUCUAUAAUUUUUUAUUAAACAUUUUGAACUUUAUUUAUUUUAAUGUAGUUAUUUUGUCAGUUUAAUUUAAAGUUUUAUUACGUUUGCGAUUUUAUCAAAUUCAAACUCUGUUUGAGCAAACAUAAAAUGAAUUCCAAUUGAAAAUAAAUAAAAAGGUUAAAAUAAGGAGUAUUUUGUUUUAUUAAGGCCCGCUCAAUUUCUAAUUUUCUAAAAUUAAAUAAACUUUAUCAAAAAAUUAAAUUUUAUUAAAUUUAUUAAUAAUUUAAAAAAAUUUAAAAAUUUUAGUUGCUUUUAGCGAAUAAAACUAGACCACCUGACAAUUAAUAAAUAAAAAAAUUAUUAAUUAUGGUAAAAUUUUUAAAAUAACUCAAUAUGAAAACUCAAAUGAAAAAAUUAUAAAAGUUUUUGAUCUGAAAAAAUUAAAAAGUCACUAAAUAACUAAACUAGAUAUUUAAAUUAAAAUUUUUGUAAAUUUAGUAUUAAUUUUGUUAGCUCCAUUCAUUUUGGAUAAGAGUAGCAAAGAAAUAUUGAUUUUUGGAUUAGUAUGAAAAUUACACUAAUCUAUAGGUAUACAAGUAGCUAGCAUUGCUCUUAUCCAAAAUGAAUGGAGCUAACAAAAUUAAUACUAAAUUUACAAAAAUUUUAAUUUAAAUAUCUGAACAAAAGUUCUUAAAUAGAAAUCAUUCAAGAAAUUAAAAUGAAAAAGUUGAAAAAGUAUUUCAAACUAGUGUACAACGGAGGGUGUAUAUAUNUAAUAGUUGAGAUAAAUUUUGUAUAUUUUUAUCAAAAGUUUUGUUGGAAAAGUAAUCCAAACUUAUCAAAAGUUUUGUUUAUCAAUAGUAGGAUUUGUAAUUAUUUCAAAUAAUAGUUAAAAUUAAUUAGAUGAAUAAACUAUAGUAAAAAUAACUGCAUAAGACCGAGGGUAUGUGUCGCUCAGUGCUUUUUAUUAAUAAAAUAUUAGUUUAGCUUUUUUUUUAAUAUUUUCAUUUUCAUAUUAUUUUAUUUUAGAAUUUUAGAUCCUAAGUUAUAUAAUCAGUAUCGACACAAAUACCGAUUUCAAUAAUUGAUAUCAGAAAAAAUAAAAUUGGAACAAGUUUACUCAAAAAUAAUUAAAAAGAAAAGAAAAGAAAAUUAAAACCAGCUAAGAAUUUUCCACUGCAUCUCAUGACCUCGAAUAUAUACAAGCACACUAAACUCUCAAUCAGUUUAAUUACAGGAACAAUUUUAUUAUCAUUAUUAAUUAAAAUCAGCAAAAUAAAAAGAAAAAAAGAAAAAGAAAAAGAAAAAGAAAAACUACAUUUGAACCACUUGUGAAUUAUUAUUAUUAUUAUUUUUUGAAAAUUUGAAUUUAUCGACUGCGCAAGAAGAGAGCGGAGCACACCUCGUGGAACGCCUCGAGGAUGUCUCUGCGGAGCUCCCGCGCGUUCAUGGCGAUGUAGCAGUUCAAGAGGCUGCGGAGCUCGCGCGGCUCCCCCAUCAUCCCCUUCGCCGUGAUCACCUCCCACAUCGACCUCCUGAAGUCCCCGCGCGGGUCGUACGAGGCCUUGUCCAUGGCGAUCAACACCACGCACCGCCGCCCCCCGCCUCGCUCGGGCGCGGCGGCCUCGUCGAUGAGCCGCUCCAGCCGCGCCUGGACCACGCCGUGCGCGAGGCUCGCGAGGGCGCGGUCCGAGUCCGAGGAGGACGAGGAGGACGAGGACGAGGAGACGCUGGGGCGCGAGCCGCAGCACAGGGCGCGGCACCGCCGCGUCGACGGGUUCGUCGUCGUCGUCGUCGUCGUGGUUGGGUUCGGUAGGGUUUUCGUGCUCUUCUUCUUCUUCUUCCUCUUCCUCCUCAGCGUGAAAAUUUCCAUCUCACUGUGUUUCCCUCUCUCUCUUUCUCUCUCUUUUUCUUUUUUUUUUUUGGUUUUUUUUUAUAUUUUUAUUUUGGUUUUGUGAGGGUAAGGGGAGGUGUCGCAGGGAGUGCGCACCAUAUGCUCGACGAAAUGCUCGCGUGCAAAAGUGUGCUCUGCCGCAGCCUUUCGGUUUCAGGUACUUUUUAUUUUUUUUGAGGUCUAAUUGCUCGAUUAGUCCCUAACAUUUAUCCUUUUGACACUUCAUCCUAACCCCCUUCUCUUUGAUCUCUAAUUUUGACGAAACAAGUCACGCAACACUAAUAAAAUUUUUCAAUAGUUUCUGAUCAAUUUCGGCACUGAUUUUUUCAAAUUUUUAGUGAAUACUUAAAAAAGAGUCAUAGACAUCGUGGGCGAGCUCGAAAAUAUUGAAUUCCAUUUCGAUUUCAUAGUUUAAAAUAAGUAAAUCAAACAUAUCCUUACUUUUGAACCAAGCAUGUUCGUCUUAAAAAAAAGAUAUUACUAUAAUAUUUUUAAUUGGACUAAUUUGAAUUGAAGGAGAGAAAAUUCCUAUUUUAUUCCUAUUACUUUUUAUUGCAUAGAUAUCUCAAUAAUUUUACUUUUAAAUAUUAACAAGAAUAUAUCAGAUUUGUUAAACAUUAUGAUUAUAGUUAACAAAUUUAUUUAUCAAUAUAUUAAAAAUAAAUCUGAUAGUCACAAUGUGAUCAAGGCAUGGUCCUUUUGGGAUGAUUAUUGAUCAUGUUGUCUCCUUAGUAAAUUUUCUUGCGAUGGACCAUGACAUCAUGUAUGCUAGUUAGCAGAUAAUCCAAUAACUGGACCCGUAUCCGAUUUCAAAUCCGACCCGAAAUAUUAUGUUUGGGUUCAAUGGUUACAGCAUAGUAGAUGCUAUAUCUGUAGCAUCUACCUGUUGAAAUCCAAAAACUCGUCUUAAUCAUUUUACACUGGCAAAUUUAGUUACUACUUUUCAAAACAAAGGGACUUUUACAGUACUUUCCCGGAUCUGUUUUCAAAUCCUAUACAGACUCGGCCUGAACCCGACCCGUUAACUCUCCUGGGCCCUAUAUGAGAGGCUAGACCUACUCUUUUUAGGGUUAUGCAAGCAUGCUUAUCUUUGAGAAUAUCUUAUUAUCCUCAGUGGUUGGAAUAAAACUAUUCUUUGGAUAUCUUAUGUGACCCUUUUUUUGCCACAUACAAGAUUUUGCAUGUGAGGAUAUCUCCAUUGGGUGAGUUGCUUCUUUGUACAAUGCCACUUUGGAAUAAUCUUUGUUCCCAUCAUUUGAUUGUGUCGGAAUAACUAUGAUUGGGGCAAAGGGGACACAAGCUUUGUACCUUAGCUGGCUCACUUUGGAGUACUUAUUUACUUAUAUUUUUGGCUUUGGGAAUGGUCCCAUUGGGAUCUUAUGAUAUUGAUUUAUGAAUGGUGGUGAGCUCUUCAAGGUGUUGGUCAUUUUAAGAGAUAUUAAGUUUCACAUUUUUCUUUGUCUUCUUGAUGUUUGGCCUGAGGCAUGGAUUAAAAUAAUCGGUUAUUUAUGAUGUAGGAAAGUGAAGAUCAGAUAUUGUUAUUAACAUGUUUGGUUUAUGAUUGGAAUAAAAACGGAAAAAAAUAUUGGAUUGCAUUUGAGUCGAAAAAUGAAAUGACGAAUCAUCUAAAAAUAUUUGGUUUAUUAUUGAAACGGAAAUCAGAAUGGGCAUUAAAAUACCUAGGAUUUCAGAGGGCUUUGAUUAAGAGAGAGAAAAGUGAUAAAGGGAGAGGAAUGGGAGGUGUUUGCGAGAGAGGGUGGCAAGAUUGGGUCAAUGAAAUAUAGUCGGACCACCGCCAAUUUUUUUGGCCCUAAAUUUCAAGAUUGGCCCAGCCCAAGUAGGCAGGAGGGCCUAAACCGAUCCGCUUAAAAUUGGACUUGGUAAGCUAAGGUGAGCAAGUCGGGCUUUGAAAUACUCAGUGUCUUCGUGUGAUAGAUUUAUAGCAAAGUUUAAUGUAUCUGUUCUGUGAAUAAUGAUACUCCAAUGCUUGGCCGGUGAAUAGCAGUCGCAAUUGCUACGGUCGUACCGUAGCAAAAUCUACUGUGGGCUAGCCCGCCACGGAACUAGGUCAAACUUGCUCUUAGUACCUCACGGCCUAGCGGUUUAACUAGAAAAAGAAAACUCAGCAUCUUCAUAUGCCUUUGCCCUACCUUUUCUUAGCCCAGUAAAUUAAGUAGUGCACCAAUCGUCCCUAGCGCAAGUGGCAAAGAGUUUGAUGGUUGGUACCCAAGAUCCCAAGUUCGAAUCCUAGGUAAUUCAGCUUUUCAGCUAAGUUUAUUUUCUAAAAAUGAAAUAAACAAAGCGGGUAACAUGCUACCUAUCUCUCUCUCAAAAAAACUCAAAAAAAAAAGAAAGUAAAUUAAGUAGUUCUAAAACGGUCACUUAAUAUUCUUAUCGGAGUCAAAAACACGUUACCACUAAUGUAAUGAAUUAACAUCAUUUCAACGUUUUACAUAUAACAGAUGUUGCUUCUACAACCCAUUUUGGAUUGUGAUCUUCCAACUUUACCAUCUAAGGACUAAGUUGUCUCCACACUUGUAUAAUCACCUUUCUUUUACACUGAAAAUUAAAAAGAGUUGGCUGAGCUUUAGGAUGAUGAGUUGUAAGAUUCCCACCCUUGGUGGAUUGUAGAGUUAAUAUUUUAUCUUAUAUUUGCUUUAAAGUAUGAGGUUAAACAAUUGACUAGGCCAAAGCAUGAUGUAAGGAGAUCAAGUGAAAUGCAAACAACUCAAUGCUUUUACCUUUUUCUAUUGAUGAUUGUAGCUGAUGUGUCAAAACAUUACAACUACAUAAGCUGAAAAUAAAAUCAUGUAUUGAAAAAGCAUUGUCAUUUUUUAUUUCCUAUAAACCAAUUUAGCUUGGCCAGCUAAUUAACUUCCUACUCUGCAAGAGAGGCAUAUGGGGUUUUUGUCUCUGUCCAUAGUGUGAGGUAAUGUGGUGUGUAAAUUAUGCUUGAUGAAGCUCCUGGCUCAACAAGUGUUCUCUCAUUUGUAUAAUCAUAGCUAAAUUCUACUUUUAUUUGAAGGGAUUAGAAUUGCGUCUUUUGCUUGACAUUUGAAACAACUUCUCUGUUUCAGAAUGUACUUGUUAUAUAUUUGACGAAUAGGGUUUUUGGAGUGAUGAGACUCUAGCAAUAACUUUUCUAGAUCACGGAAACAAAAUGCUGCAAUUUAGAUUUUCUCUUUUUUUUUAGAGAGAAAGACAACAUGUUAUUUAUUUCGUUCCUUUUUUAGAAUUAAAUCCAAUUAGAAAUGUGAAGCAAUUAAGCUUCAAAGUCGGACCUUAAAUACCAAUUAUUAAGCUCUUAGCCAAUUAUACACUAGGCACGAUGGAUAGCAAUUUUGAAUUUCUAUUAUUGGACUGUUUGAUUCCACUUAGUUGCUAAAGUAGUACAAUUGUAACUACAUGAGUAUUCAAAUUAGAUAUUUGAUUUGAUAUAUUUGAAUUUAAUUAUUGCCCUUAGAACUAAAUGAGGAGACCCAACUGCAGUAGUUGUAAAGAGUAAUUUUAAAUAAAAAAUAAGCUUACCUCUCUAAUCACUUUUUCAAUAAAAUUUUUUUUUUCUAUAUUGAAGGUAAUCCCACCAUCACAUAUAUAAAUUGAUAAAUUUUUUAAAAUGCACUUUUCAACUGCAUACAAUCAAACAAUAUUUGCGUGAUUAUAAUAUUUUCUAUUACAUUGAACCAAAUAUAAUGCAUUGUGUUUUCAGCUGUAUACAUCUGUAACUAUAAUGUAUUUUUAAUUAAAUCAAAUCAAAUGUUCCCCCUAUGUUUAAGGACUUUUUGAGGAACUUACAUUAAUGAAAGGGAAUAAUUCCUUUUAAACAACAUUUUAGCUCCAUUUAAACCCACCAUGCCCCAAGUAAUUACCGACAUAGCAGUUGUUUAAAAAACUUUAAAUAUUACUCCAUUUCGAAAAUUUAAUGAAUUUUUUAAACUGAUCUAUUAGGUGUUCCUUAUCAAUCAGAUCCACUAAUUCUUACUAUAAAACUCUCAUUCUCUUGCAUCUGUACAAAAGACAAAGAGACAAUAGCAGAUGAAUCAAUCAGUAAUAGUUUGAUAAUUUGAUUUAUGUAGAGAUUUGGUAAGAUACUUAGGAUGAUUCAUCUAGCUGUUCCUGGACACGUGGCAAUCUUUGGCAUGUGAGGAGCGAACCGAACACGAGCGAGUUGGAGCUUAAUUGUGUUCGGCUCGUUUAAUAAACGAGCAAACUCAUUAAAAUAUCGAACUGAACAUAAGCUAGCUUACGAGCUGAUCAACGAACAAUAAAUUAAAUAAAUUAGAUUGAAUAAAUAUUAAAAAUAAAUUUGUAAAUUCUUGCCUAUUAGAUCAAAAUUAGACUUUGAUCUAAUGGCUGAAAUUUUAUAUAUAAAUAAAUUUUUUUAUAAUUGAGCUCGCUUUAUUUUUUUUUGCUAAAAAUUAAAUAAUAAAAAAAUAUAUAUAUUAUAUAUAUAAUUAUUUAUUUAUAAAUAUAAAAUUAUUACAUAGAUACUGGCUUCAAUUGAAAAAAAAAUAUUAAAUUAUUUAAUAUAAUUUAAGAAAAUUAAUUAAUUAAACUAAAAUUAAAAAGAACAUUUUUCUUAAAAUUAAGCUUCUCCUAAAGGCACCUCCUCCACCACACCAAGACAAAAUAAUAUUCCUCCCACUUUCCACCUAAAAUACGCCAUUCCGCACCUAAAAUAAAUAAAUUAAAAAAAAAACAUCCUAUAAUUCCAAUGUGUGUUAAUUCUCUCUCGUUACCACGAUUAUUGUCCCAACACAAUAAGAACCUGAGAAACAAAGAUUAAAGAAGAAGAAAAGGAAAGAAAAAAAAAAUUGUUUUGGUAUUGUAAAAGGAUAGAGAUGGCCAAAGAAGGCCGCGAAAUUGCGUCGUCGGCGGCAGCGGCGGUGGUGCCACUGCUUCGUCCACCACCGCAGAGGAAGGGCUCGUACGCACGGUGCCUCUCGCACGCCGGCGACGAGCUCAAGAGCUUCCGCACCUGCCUCCGGUGGAUGUGCGUCGACCACUCCGACACGCUCCGCUCCGCUGUCUCCUGGUAUCUUAUAUACGAUACGACACGAUACGACCGUUGUUCUCUAAAAAUUUAUUAGAAAAUAAAAAUUCAAUCAAACAGUGUAUAUUUAAAACUGCUUUCACCUUAUGUGUGUGAACUUCAAACUCUAGUGAUAGACCACUAACGGUAUUUUAAUAUUUUUAUAUAUUGAACAGGUCUAUGUUCUUUUUCCUCUCGGCGGCGGUCCCCGCCGCCGACCACCUCCUCCUAAUCCCCGCCUCCUCCCCUCGCCGCCGCUACGAUGCGGUGGUGCAGCUCUCCCUCUCCGCCGCCGCCGCCCUCGCCUACCUCUCCCUCUCCGGCUUCGUCCGCCGCCACGGCCUCCGCCGCCUCCUCCUCCUCGACCGCCUCCGCCGCGACAGCGACCGCGUCCGCCGCGGCUACGCCGGCCAGCUCGGCCGCUCCUUCCGCCUCCUCGCGGCCUUCGUCCUCCCCUGCUGCGCCGCCGAGGCUGCCUACAAGGCCUUCUGGUGGUGGCGGUGGCGCUCCGCCGCCGGAGGGCGGUGGCCGGCGAUCGGCGCCGCCGCCGCGGCGUGCGUUCUGGAGCUGGCGUCUUGGGCGUACCGCACCGCCAUCUUCUUCCUCGCCUGCGUGCUCUUCCGCCUCAUCUGCCACCUCCAGAUCCUCCGCAUGCACGACUUCGCCGCCGCCUUCCAGGCUGAGACCGACGUCGCCGCCGUGCUCAGGUGCGAAAAUGAAUAACUGUAACACCCCAAUAGUAUCACAUCAGAUAAAAAAGAAUCAAAAAACUCUAGUAAUAAUAACCGGGCUUAUUUAAUAUCAGGCAGCAUAUUCGCAUACGGCAGCAGCUCAGUGUGAUCAGCCACCGGUAUCGGGGUUUCAUCGUCUCCGCUCUGCUCCUUGUCACCGUGAGCCAGUUCGCCACUCUACUGCUUACCACGCGGCCUCAUGCUCAAGUGAACAUAUACACCGCCGGCGAGCUCGCCGUAAGUUUCGGUCUCUUCGUUGAGUUGCGCUAUUCGAAUAAGCAUCUAAUUUUCGUAUAACCUACUAGCACCGUAAAUUUGUGCUCGCCGAGAGAGCUCGAACCCGCUGAGAGUGAGCCUUGAAUCUUUAUUUAUUUUCUUUUAGUGCGCGCUUCAGUUGAAGCAGAUACACAAUGAAAUGACUUUCCUUUUUCUUUCUGUUGUGCAGUUGUGCUCGCUGGGGCUGGUGAUGGGGAUGCUGAUGUGCCUGCGGAGCGCGGCGAAGAUCACGCACAAGACGCAGGCGAUCACAAGCCACGCCGCGGCGUGGCACGCCUGCGCCACCAUCGACCCCUCCGACGCCGCCGACGACCCGGAGACCCACGCGAGAACCAACUGCGAAGAGGGGGACGGUUCUGAUUCCGACGACGAGGACGACGAGGAGGAGGAGGAGGAGGAGAGGGACGAGGAUGAUUUGGACGACGCAAAGCUCAUGCCUACUAGUUAUGCUAUUGCCAGCACGGUCUCGUUCCAAAAGCGACAGGCGCUUGGUGAGCACUGCGUCUCAGAACUCGGAUUAAAUUUCGCGUCGUCGGUAACGUCCGACUAAGUUCUGCUUCUGCUUGCAGCAACAGAAAUGUUAUCCGUCUGCGAAACAGGAAAAUGUAGAGCCUUGCAGCAGAAAAGCAGAACUGUUGCCUGAAGCCAAAUUUGGCAACUAGUUCAGAGAGCAAUGCAGUUCUCUCAUCUGCAUGCCAUGCGAGAUGAAACAGAACUAACACUUCUUGUUUGUGAAAUCAUCUUGAAAAACUGCAGUGACAUACUUGGAGAACAACAGAGCAGGGAUCACCGUGUUCGGAUUCGUGGUCGACAGGACGUGGCUCCACGCCUUGUUCAUGAUCGAGUUCUCUCUCGUUACGUGGCUCCUCGGCAAAACCAUCGGAAUCUCUUAGAAGUGAUCGAUCAGUUCACUGGCUCGAAUCGUAAUAGUGACCGGUUGAACUGCGAAGAGCUCUUCCUGCAGAAUUUUUGUUCACUUCCUUUUGGUGUCAUCCUAAUCUUGUUCUUUUAUUCAUCAGAAAAUUUGCAUGCUUGUGAUUUACAGCUAUACUGCUUCGAAGUAGCCCGUAUUUUUGCUGAUACAUCCAAUGUUUAUAUCUUCAGAAAUAGUUUAUAUUUGCGCAUUUGCACCUUCCAUUGUGUCAGAUUUUUGGAAUGAAUAGCCACAACAGAAGGGCACACCCAUAGAUAUAAGUUAUUUCUAAAGAUAUGUGAAUAAAUAGAAUUUUUAAAAGCUGUAAAUACACAAAAUUGGGCUAUUUCCAUUGGUACAUUCAUGAAUCAAAAAAAUGUAUAUGACUUAAUUCUAUGCUUAUGGUAAUACUGCAACAAUGCAGAGUGUAAGGGGGGUUAAAAGACAAUGUAUAUUUAAUCCUCGUUCAGAAUUCAAACUGCAACAUGAGGAUGAAUUGUUCAUGAUUCUAAGUUUUCCAAAAAAAAAAAAAAAUACCACUUCAAAAAAACAAAAACAAAAACACUGAUAAGCCACGCGAAGCAGAAAAAAGAGAUAUUAAGCACGAGAAAAUAGGGGGGGUUAAAAAGAACUUUCUGAUUCACCCUUCAACACAUCUUGAUCAAUCAGUCACUAAAUGCAGAAAAUUGUAAAAAAAAAAUCAUUAUGCAUCCUUUGACAUAUUCUCCUUAUUCCUCUAUUCUCAACUCUUAACCUAAGAUCUAUAAGAAUCUCGGGCCCGCUCUGGCAUGCCACGCCUAAACGACACCAGCCCCAAACGCAUCCCUGCUGGCGACGACCUAGGCGGCGUCCGAUGCCCCAGAUGCACCCGUCCGACCUGCGACCGGAAGUAAGCCAAUCUCCUCCUAUCGAAGCUGUAUGGCCUAUACCCAUGUCUUCUAUAGUCCCUUCCAUCGACCACGUAAUCCCCCAGCACCACCGCUCCCGGCAUCAACGAGCUGAUUGUACUGAUCACAUCCUGCUGCUCACUUUCGUCCUCCAGCUGCUUCCACUUCUGCUCGAGCACGGGGUCCACUGCACGAGGCUUCGCUUUGGGGUGCUCGGACCGAACGUGCUUGCACAUCGCCUUAAACGUCCCGGAAAACGAGCAACCAUCCUGCAUGCAGCUUCUCUUCUUACGGUUCAGGUACUGCCUGACGGGCUCCACUACUGUCCAUCCUUUAAGCUGGCUGCGGCAGAGAGGGCACGCAAGUUCAGUCGCCCCCUCCAACUCGUCGCCAGUUGCUUUUGUGCGGACCUUCGUGAACUGUUCAAAGCAGUUGGAGUGGCGGCGGCCGGUCCCGCACAUGAAAGGGCGGCAGCCUUUGUCGUAGGAGGAACAGAGGAGGAGGACGGCAUUGUGCGGAUGCUCCAAGCAUACCGGGCACGUUUCAUCUUUCCGGUCCCCCUCAGCCACACCCAAAGGCACUUUCUUGCGUUUAGCUUUCCUCUUCAUGCCGUUCCAAUUAGAGGAACUAACACGAAGAGCGGACGUCGGCUGACAAGUCGCAGGCCUGGAAUCCACUCUAGUUCUUGUCAUGAUGUCUUUGAAGCCUGAGAAGAAAUAUUAUAGCCAAUUCGAAAGUUCAAUUCAACAAAGCUAUAGAGAGAGAGAGAGAGAGAGAGAGAGAGAGAGAGAAAGAGUUGACAGAUGAAUGAAAAUAUUAUCGGAAUUAUUCAAAUCUCAAUACUUGCUAUGAUAAAUGAUUUUAGGCAUCUACAUUGAAGAUCCAUAAUGUUGAAUGAUAUCAAGACACAGUGAAAUGCUAGAAAACCAAAAGCAAUAAUUUCCAGACCUACCGACCGUCCCUAGAGCAAGUGGCAAAGGGCUUGGUGGUUGGUACCCGAGACCCAAGUUCGAAUCCUAGUUGAUUCACAUUUCUAGCUAAAUUUAUUUCUAAAUAAAAUAAACGAAGCGGGUAGCAUGCUACCUAUCUCUAAAAAAAAAAUAAUAAUAAUAAUAAUAAUAAUAAUAAUAAUAAUUUCCAGACCUACCGACUGCACCUUGGUUAAAAGCUUGAUGGUUGGUAUCCAAGCUCCCAAGUUUGAAGCUAAUUAUUUUACAUUUCGAGUUGAGUUUAUUUUUUAAAAAAUAAACAAAACAAAUAGCUUAUCUCUCUCUCUCUCUCUCUCUCUCUCAAAAAAAAAAAAAAAAAAAAAAAAAAAAAACUGGGACCUUUCUCAUCUUAAGAUCAUAUGCUCUCAAAUUGGCACUACUGAAAAUUGACACAUGCAGAUACAAAAGAUUGAUUGUUUAGAAUAGUGUCUAAUCUAGUUGAACAUAUCUAUUGCAGAAUAAGCUACAAAUAAAACGAUACUAUAUUUUCAUAUGCCCACACAACUUUUAAUGUUCAUUUUGUAGCAAACAAAAUGACAUUAUAUGAAAAUUUUCUUUUUUGUUAUGUACACUAACAUUGAUUUCACAAUAGAAUAAGCUUAUCUCUACAUCAUGUACAUAAAUGAGUAUAUUUGUAUGUGUCAUGAUGUCAUCUACAGCUUUCUUCUUGGACUAAGGGUAGCAGAUGUUUAUGUAGGGGGGAAAUAAGAGAAAAGGGUUGCUCUUUCACAGAGCUUACCUUGCAAUCUAUGUAAAGAGACAUAAUUGUAGCACUCAUCAACAAACAAAAGAUAAUAAACAGAGAGUACAAAAGAUGGACAAAAUUAAAGAAUUUUAAUGAUUUCAAAAUUAAACAUGUAAUAAAAGUAAGAUCCUACAAUUUGAUUAUGUGAAUCUGUGAAUUGCUAACGGACAUUAUCAAGUUAUUAUUUAGCUGGACAGAAUCAGCUAGACUUGAGCAGAGUGUGCGAAAAGACUUACUAAGAUUUAUUGAAAGAAAGGUUUUCUUCGGCAUUUCUCCCAAUCAACUAGCGUAUGAGGCUAUAACUUAGGAGGUUUUUAUAAUGCCUUUCAAAUAACAUUAAAAUGAGAGCCAAAGCUCUAAACUUAUAUAAAAAGUAAUGCUCAUAACACUUGAGGUGCGAUAAAUAGAAGCGCCUAAGGGAUCACAAUAGUAGAUAAUCAAAGCAUGCAAAAUAAAUUGGGAAACAAAAAAAAAUCUAAAAUCUAAUCCUCAAUUUCUAAUAAACCAACAAGUCACCGAUCAGUAUACAAGCAGGAUUACAACUAAUUACAGAAAUAUAGUAGACAAGCAUCAACAGGGCACAAAAAUACACUCUCUAAUUCCGAAAUCCAUAAUGGCAACACUAAAUGUGCCGAAUCAUAUUACGGACAACAUUUUGAAUCUACUGCGGGAAUUAUCCCCUGUUCUACAAUCCUAGAAUUUUCUACUUGCACUUAUUAAAAAAAACUAAUUUAUUUCCACCCUUAACUAACCACCUAAAUUACGAACUUUUCCAAAUCUGAUAAAUAGCAUCAACCAAAAAAAAAAAAAAUCUAAAGAACCAAAACCAACUUCUCAGAUAAGCUAAGUUUACAAAAUUGUAGUUUUAGGCUUUUAGGGUCUAUUUUACCACUCGCGCUACAGCGGGCAGCAAAUCCCCAACUUGCGCUACAGCAGGAAGCAAAAAAUAAGAUUUUUAGCCUCAAAAGCAGAAGCUCCAAUUCGCUUCUUCUGAUUCUGAUGUAGAAAAAAAAAUGUCUAGCAUAAAUUAAUAUAGUGCUUUUCCUAAUAACACCACAAAAAUACUACUUUAUCAAACAACACUAUCCUAUACAUCAAUAUCCAAGUUCCAAUAACACAAUAUUAUAACAAUAAGUAAAUCAUAGAGGCCCACGUACCCUUACAACAUAAGUAUUCCUACAUCUACAUCUAAAAUUCCUAGCCCCUGAUUAUGCCAAAACAAAAGUAGAAAACAAAAUGAAAGAAAAAAAUGAAAAAAAAAAAAAAAACCAAAAAGAUGGGAUUGUUAACUAGGUCUCGAUGGCCCUAAUUACUUGUAAUCAUGAUACAAAAAAUAUAAAUAUGGAGAAUGUGGAUUGAGAGGCGUACCUGUUCGAACGAAGCAGGAUCGGAGGGAUCGCCUAGGGUUUGCGAGUUCGAGCGCGGGGAAGCGAAUUUUCGGGAGGAAUCGGGUCCAAAUUUAUUUAUAUACGGAUUGGGUCGGGUUGGGUAGGGUCGGGUCGGGUCGGGUCGUAACUCGAACUGGUAGUAUCACCCCGGUUAGUGUAAUGGAUUAAAUAUUAAAAAAAAAACAGAACGAAAAUGUACUUAAAAAAAAAAAAAAGGCUUUCUCAUUACAAAUUUAGACUUAGAUUGGUAUUGAGAUUUGAGACCCAUCUGACGCUAUUAAAUAAAAUGGAAUUGGAAUAAAAGCAUAUAAAGAUAUAUUUCUGUGUUCUCGGGUGGAGCCCACAGAAAAUUUAUCAUAAGCGACUAAUUGCGAUAUGCGGAACGCAAUUUACGUACGAAAGCAAACAAAGUAUUUUUCUAUUAUAUUUUUUCAUUACACGUAAUGUAAUCUCUCCGCAAUCUCAAUCAUUCUGUAAAUUAUUUAUAUUAAUAUUUAAAUUUUGCCGUAUACAAUCUAAAUUUAUUAAUUUAAUUUUAUAAUUAUUAAAUUCUAUAAUUUAGACUUAUUCAAUUUACUUUAAUCUGGAAUGCAUGAAAUUUUUGUUCAGUAUAUUUUUUAAUUUAUUUUAAAUUUAUAUAUUUGGUAAAUAAAAAUUAUGAUCAAAAUUUUAAAAUAAAAUAUUAUAUUUAGUAUUUAAGUUAUAUUUUUAAAAUAAAAUAAAUUAUCUUAUAAAUAAAAUACACUAUUAUAUCAAAUCGUGAGGUGCAAAAUUUUUGAAGAAACAAAAAUCAAACUUUUUUAGUUAUAAUUAUAGUUAAAAAGUUUUAAAUCCAAUAAAUUAUCUAUGAAUAAAUAUUUCAACAUUCAAAAAAUAAUACUAUAAUAACUGUAAACUUACAAUCAUGAUCAAAUUAUUUUUGGGAAAAAUGUGUUGAAUUUGUUGUGAAAAAUUGGAAGGUUAUUCGUAUAUUAUUCCUCUCAAUUUUGUUGGAGGCAACGCGUCUCUUUCCCUUUCCCUUCCAAAUAAUUUACCCCCCCAAAAUUCCCCGUUUUAAAAAUUUAAAUUUUUACUCAUAUAUAUCUUUUUUUAUAUUUUAUAAUAAUAUAAAUAUGAAUUAGUUUCAAGUUAAUGCGUCGCCUUUCCCACUCACUCUCGUCUCUUCUCCUCUCCUCUCCUCUUUUCCCCAUUCCCAUGGAAUUUCCACUCUCGCGAACCCUAGCCCCAUGCUCCACCCAUUCCUCCUCCAAAUCCCACAACCCUAGAGAAUCUACGGCGGCGGAGGAGGCUCCGGCCCCGGCGGCGGCGGAGGAGGAGGAGGAGGAGGAGGAGGAGGGGGAUUCCAUCUGCGGCGGUGGCGAUACUACUGCCACCGCCGAGGCGGCGCCGCCCCUCCGGAGGAGCUCAGGCGAUGCGAUCGCCAAGGCCGAGAUUCGGCGGACCGGCGCGGCGUCUCCUUCCGCUUCCUCUUCUGCGUCCUCCUCCUCCUCCUCCUCCUCUCGUCGGUCGCCGCCGCCUCGCCGGAGAGGAGUGCGGCUGAGGCGGCGCCGUCGCGCCCUGUGGGUGGCUCGUGGCGGCGCCGCAUCCGAUUAUGGGCUCGGGGAUCUCGCCCUUCCGCUUGGGAUGUCCUUCGCCGCCGUUAUCGCCCAGGUAGACGAUGCUCGCUUAGCUAAUCACAUUUUUUGGCGCAAAAUGUGAAAUUGAAAUAACUAUGACUCGGAAAAUUCUUUUUUUUUUUUUAUUAGCUAGGGCCAUUUUGAUUGCAAAUAUAGCUCAAUUCCUCCAGAUGGAUAUAAUUACUAUAAAAAGGAAAACUGCAUUAAAUUUGAUCUAUUUGGCACUUCUACUUAUUUAUAAGUCAUCUUUUAAGGCUUUGCAUCCAUCACUGGAUCAUUACAAUUUUAUAAGAACAUGCAAAAUACUCUUUUUGAAUCAUGUCUAUAAUUUUAAGGUCAAUGAUUCCUUCGAUUGUCGCAGGGGUUCAGAAUAUGAAGGUUACCUAGUUUGAUAAUAAAUGAUGCUUAUUUCAUACUGUAACCUAUACCUAAACAGCUGAAACUGUAAUAAUAGUGUAUUUUACGUUAGUCCCACUUGGUUAAGUAAUGGAUCAAACUACUUAUAGAAAAAGAAUCUCUGUUUCCUUGAAAAAGGUUUCUGCGUAUAGCAUGAAGUGAAGAAUAACUUAUUCUGAUAUGAAUGCUUCCGGAAAAAGUCUCCACUUUUACUUCUAAAAAUGGUUUUUUUUAAAUUUUUUUUAAUAUCUGUAUAGAUUGAUGACCCCAUAAGUUACAUUGUCCUCAGUUUAUGUGUUCUUCCAGUGAUCAGGCUUAAAAAUCCAUCGGCAAAGUUCCUGCCUAUUGUAGAGGAAGCACCUUUUCAUUUUGUGUAUAAUCUGUGAGUGAUGGAUUGAUGCCUGGAAAUAAGAAAAGGAAAAUUGGAGAUCACAUAUU